rnacentral:rRNA from 1 species
GACAGAGGGGGCAAGCGUUGCUCGGAAUUACUGGGCGUAAAGGGCGCGUAGGCGGGAUGGCAAGUCGGUCGUGAAAUCCCUGGGCUCAACCCAGGAACUGCGUCCGAUACUGGUUGGCUUGAAUCCGGGAGAGGGAUGUGGAAUUCCAGGUGUAGCGGUGAAAUGCGUAGAUAUCUGGAGGAACACCGGUGGCGAAGGCGACAUCCUGGACCGGUAUUGACGCUGAGGCGCGAAAGCCAGGGGAGCAAACGGG